rnacentral:rRNA from 1 species
CGAAAGCCUGACGGAGCAAGACCGCGUGAGGGAGGAAGGCUCUUGGGUUGUAAACCUCUUUUCUCAGGGAAGAAGCUCUGACGGUACCUGAGGAAUCAGCCUCGGCUAACUCCGUGCCAGCAGCCGCGGUAAGACGGAGGAUGCAAGCGUUAUCCGGAAUUAUUGGGCGUAAAGCGUCCGCAGGUGGUGAGUCAAGUCUGCUGUCAAAGCCAGGAGCUCAACUCCUGUCCGGCAGUGGAAACUGAAUGGCUAGAGUGCCGUAGGGGUAGAGGGAAUUCCCGGUGUAGCGGUGAAAUGCGUAGAGAUCGGGAAGAACAUCGGUGGCGAAAGCGCUCUACUGGACCACACCUGACACUCAGAGGACGAAAGCUAGGGGAGCG